AGUGAACGCUGGCGGUAGGCCUAACACAUGCAAGUCGAACGGCAGCACAGGAGAGCUUGCUCUCUGGGUGGCGAGUGGCGGACGGGUGAGGAAUACAUCGGAAUCUACUUUUUCGUGGGGGAUAACGUAGGGAAACUUACGCUAAUACCGCAUACGACCUACGGGUGAAAGCAGGGGACCUUCGGGCCUUGCGCGAUUGACUGAGCCGAUGUCGGAUUAGCUAGUUGGCGGGGUAAAGGCCCACCAAGGCGACGAUCCGUAGCUGGUCUGAGAGGAUGAUCAGCAGCACUGGAACUGAGCCACGGUCCAGACGCCUACGGGAGGCAGCAGUGGGGAAUAUUGGACAAUGGGCGCAAGCCUGAUCCAGCCAUACCGCGUGGGUGAAGGAGGCCUUCGGGUUGUAAAGCCCUUUUGUUGGGAAAGAAAUCCAGCUGGCUAAUACCCGGUUGGGAUGACGGUACCCAAGGAAUAAGCACCGGCUAACUUCGUGCCAGCCGCCGCCGUAA
rnacentral:rRNA from 1 species